rnacentral:rRNA from 1 species
GACGAACGCUGGCGGCGUGCCUAAUACAUGCAAGUAGAACGCUGAAGAGAGGAGCUUGCUCUUCUUGGAUGAGUUGCGAACGGGUGAGUAACGCGUAGGUAACCUGCCUUGUAGCGGGGGAUAACUAUUGGAAACGAUAGCUAAUACCGCAUAACAAUGGAUGACACAUGUCAUUUAUUUGAAAGGGGCAAUUGCUCCACUACAAGAUGGACCUGCGUUGUAUUAGCUAGUAGGUGAGGUAAUGGCUCACCUAGGCGACGAUACAUAGCCGACCUGAGAGGGUGAUCGGCCACACUGGGACUGAGACACGGCCCAGACCUCCACGGGAGGGAGCAGUAGGGAAUCUUCGGCAAUGGGGGCAACCCUGACCGAGCAACGCCGCGUGAGUGAAGAAGGGUUUCGGAUCGUAAAGCUCUGUUGUAAGUCAAGAACGGGUGUGAGAGUGGAAAGUUCACACUGUGACGGUAGCUAACCAGAAAGGGACGGCUAACUACGUG